rnacentral:rRNA from 1 species
UACGUAGGGUGCGAGCGUUAAUCGGAAUUACUGGGCGUAAAGCGUGCGCAGGCGGUUUUGUAAGCCAGAUGUGAAAUCCCCGGGCUUAACCUGGGAAUGGCAUUUGGGACUGCAAAGCUUGAGUGUGGCAGAGGGGACUGGAAUUCCUGGUGUAGCAGUGAAAUGCGUAGAGAUCAGGAGGAAUACCGAUGGCGAAGGCGGCUCUCUGGACCAAUAUUGACGCUGAGAAACGAAAGUGCGGGGAUCAAACAGG